CCUACGGGUGGCAGCAGUGAGGAAUAUUGGUCAAUGGACGAGAGUCUGAACCAGCCAAGUAGCGUGAAGGAUGACUGCCCUAUGGGUUGUAAACUUCUUUUAUAUGGGAAUAAAAUGUUCCACGUGUGGGAUUUUGUAUGUACCAUAUGAAUAAGGCUCGGCUAACUCCGUGCCAGCAGCCGCGGUAAUACGGAGGAUUCGAGCGUUAUCCGGGUUUAUUGGGUUUAAAGGGAGCGUAGGUGGAUUGUUAAGUCCGUUGUGAAAGUUUGCGGCUCAACCGUAAAAUAGCAGUUGAAACUGGCAGUCUUGAGUACAGUAGAGGUAGGCGGAAUUCGUGGUGUAGCGGUGAAAUGCUUAGAUAUCACGAAGAACUCCGAUUGCGAAGGCAGUUCACUGGACUGCAACUGACACUGAGGCUCGAAAGUGUGGGUAUCAAACAGGAUUAGAUACCCGGGUAGUC
rnacentral:rRNA from 1 species